rnacentral:rRNA from 1 species
GACGAACCGUGCGAACGUUGUUCGGAUUCACUGGGCUUAAAGGGCGCGUAGGCGGGUCAGCAAGUCCGGGGUGAAAGCUUUCGGCUCAACCGGAAAAGGGCCUUGGAUACUGCUGGUCUGGAGGAAGGUAGGGGCGUGUGGAACUUCCGGUGGAGCGGUGAAAUGCGUAGAGAUCGGAAAGAACACCAACGGCGAAAGCACUCUGCUGGGCCGACACUGACACUGAGAGACGAAAGCUAGGGGAGCGAAUGGG